CCCGGGAACUGGGUAUAAUACCCGAUAGGUCUCGAUUGCUGGAAUGCAUCGAGAUUUAAAGCUCCGGCGCCUAAGGAUGGGUCUGCGGCCUAUCAGGUAGUAGUGGGUGUAGCGUACCUACUAGCCUACGACGGGUACGGGUUGUGAGAGCAAGAGCCCGGAGAUGGAUUCUGAGACACGAAUCCAGGCCCUACGGGGUGCAGCAGGCGCGAAAACUUUACAAUGCUGGCAACAGCGAUAAGGGAACCUCGAGUGCCAGGUUACAAAUCUGGCUGUCGAGAUGCCUAAAAAGCAUUUCAUAGCAAGGGCCGGGCAAGACCGGUGCCAGCCGCCGCGGUAACACCGGCGGCUCGAGUGGUAACCGUUAUUAUUGGGUCUAAAGGGUCUGUAGCCGGCCGGAUAAGUCUCUUGAGAAAUCUGGCAGCUUAACUGUCAGGCUUUCAGGAGAUACUGUCUGGCUCGAGGCCGGGAGAGGUGAGAGGUACUUCAGGGGUAGGGGUGAAAUCUUGUAAUCCUUGAAGGACCACCAGUGGCGAAGGCGUCUCACCAGAACGGACCUGACGGCAAGGGACGAAAGCUAGGGGCACGAACCGGAUUAGAUACCCGGGUAGUCCUAGCCGUAAACGAUACUCGCUAGGUGUCGGCCACGGUGCGACCGUUGUCGGUGCCGUAGGGAAGCCGUGAAGCGAACCACCUGGGAAGUACGGCCGCAAGGCUGAAACUUAAAGGAAUUGGCGGGGGAGCACAA
rnacentral:rRNA from 1 species